UACGGAGGGGACUAGCGUUGUUCGGAAUUACUGGGCGUAAAGCGCACGUAGGCGGAUUUGUAAGUCAGGGGUGAAAUCCCGGGGCUCAACCUCGGAACUGCCUUUGAUACUGCACAUCUCGAGUCCGGAAGAGGUGAGUGGAAUUCCUAGUGUAGAGGUGAAAUUCGUAGAUAUUAGGAAGAACACCAGUGGCGAAGGCGGCUCACUGGUCCGGUACUGACGCUGAGGUGCGAAAGCGUGGGGAGCAAACAGG
rnacentral:rRNA from 1 species